rnacentral:lncRNA from 1 species
CUCACCUGCCGUGUUGUGUGGCCCAGUUCCUAACAGGCCAUGGACCAGCAGCAUUCUGCUGCCCAGGGUUUGGAGACCUCUAUUUUAGAGUGAUCUCAGGUGAUCUCUUGGGAGUGGGAGGAUCUCUUCCACUUUCUUCUGUGACUAAUGUCUCAUGCUGGCAAAGACAAUGUGACAUAAUAUUCAUUGUCACAGUG